rnacentral:rRNA from 1 species
AUUGAACGCUGGCGGCAUGCUUUACACAUGCAAGUCGAACGGUAACAGGUUAAGCUGACGAGUGGCGAACGGGUGAGUAAUGCAUCGGAACGUGCCCGGUCGUGGGGGAUAACACUUCGAAAGAAGUGCUAAUACCGCAUACGAUCUGAGGAUGAAAGCGGGGGACCGUAAGGCCUCGCGCGAUCGGAGCGGCCGAUGUCAGAUUAGGUAGUUGGUGGGGUAAAGGCCUACCAAGCCGACGAUCUGUAGCUGGUCUGAGAGGACGACCAGCCACACUGGGACUGAGACGCGGCCCAGACUCCUACGGGAGGAAGCAGUGGGGAAUUUUGGACAAUGGGCGCAAGCCUGAUCCAGCAAUGCCGCGUGCAGGAAGAAGGCCUUCGGGUUGUAAACUGCUUUUGUACGGAGCGAAAAGGCUCUCUCUAAUACAGGGGGCUGAUGACGGUACCGUAAGAAUAAGCACCGGCUAACUACGUGCCAGCCGCCGCCGUAA